CCCAUGUAAUUACUCCGAAAUCAAGGUGCUGAAAUAUCUGUACUCAGGCUGACGGAAGAGAAAAGCCCCUGAAGGACUGUCUGAAACACACGCUGCCUCAGAAAUGAAGAGACGGAGAGGAGAGAGGCGAAAGCGGAGGUGGGAAGCUCAAACGCUGGGAUAAUGUAAUGCUGCUGUUCUCUGGCAAGUCAUAUAAACCAUCGUUUUCACAGCUUCAUGACUGAUCAGCAACUGAAGUGAUGAAGGAUGGCAGACAUCAGGCCACAUGUCAAGAGGUCAAGGAUCAGGGUGUGCUGGUGUCCUUAAAUUGUUAACACAAGUCCAUCGCCCGCCUCCACCAAACGCACCCAGGAGAGGGAGAGAAGUUGUCAGAUGAAGGACAAGUCUCCGAGAUGCACGUGUAUAAAAAGCUGGAGGAGAUGUGUGAGCAAAAAAAAAGUCCUGAUAGCGCUUCCUGUUUCCCGGACAGGAUGUGCAACUACGGCUAAGUCUUCCCAGUGAUUGGGCUUUGAUGUUACCUUGAGUGAUAGAUGAGAGAGGUGGAGGAGUGUUGGAGGAGAGGAAAAAGGUGAUGUUGCUGACACAGCAGUUUGAGACAACUUUCUUCUCCACGCUUUUUUUUUCUUUUUACUUUAAGCCUUUGCCACUUUUCUAUCUGCACUCCACAAAAAAAAGAGGGGAAAAAAAGACAACCAUCUCACUUUAAAGAUGGUAUAAACCGGAGAUGGCGGCGCGGCAGCCGAGAGGGGGAUUUGAAAAAGGAGCGUGAAGUGGGUUAUGUCAAGUUUUUUAUUCUAAUGCAUGAAGGAGGCAGUUGGAGGUCACUGCGGUAUUCACAACUAUGGGGGGGUUAACACCUUGGACAAACAACGCUCCGCACCUUUUAAUCAGCUCAUCGCCACCUACUGUAAAAAAAGAAAAAAAAAAGUCUGCUGUGUGACAUGAGCAGCCCCGAGGACUCAGAGGGGAGGAAAGAAUACUCUCACUGACACACACAUGGAUCAUCUCGCACAUGCACAGGAAAAAUAAGCGUUAACCGGCGGGACAAGAAUGGACGGUACCGUUUUCUCCUCUUUAUUAAUAACCGCAGAGUCAGACAAGCAGCGCCCGUGAUCGAAUGUUUGUUGUUCGUCAGUGCUUUUGGGUUCAUUUGUGUUCAAAUAGCUUGUGUCCCUGGUAGCAGAGGCAGCCCGCAUUCUCUUGAUUUCAUCUUAGUGAUUGAUAGUGAGAGUGGCACAUGCACUUGUUAUCCCUCCUCAUGCUUGCAGGAGGAAUAAUGUACUCCGCUCGCACAAAGCAUACAGAGAGUCUAAACAGAAAUUACCUCAGUGAAUCCUGAUCUCCCCGUUGGAGAUAAGUACAAUUAGCAGUCAGCGUUCAGCAGACAUUUCUUGUGCGGCUUUGUACAUGUGCGCCUGUGUCACAACGUUCAUCUCGUGUCUCCAAAGGACUCUAUUACCUGAGAGCGGUGGGGCAGAU